ensembl:Y_RNA Y_RNA Y RNA
GGCUGGUCUGAUGGUAGUGGGUUAUCAGAACUUAUUAACAUUAUUGUCACUAAAGUUGGUAUAAAAAUCGCCACUGCUAAAUUUGACUCUCUUAAA